rnacentral:rRNA from 1 species
AUACGGAGGAUCCGAGCGUUAUCCGGAUUUAUUGGGUUUAAAGGGUGCGCAGGCGGGAGAUUAAGUCGGCGGUGGAAUUUUGUAGCUCAACUUUAAAAGUGCCUUCGAUACUGGGUUCCUUGAGUGUGGGUGAAGGAGGCGGAAUUUGUGGUGUAGCGGUGAAAUGCUUAGAUAUCACGAGGAACUCCGAUUGCGCAGGCAGCUUACUAAACCACUACUGACGCUCAGGCACGAAGGCGUGGGGAUCAAACAGGAUUAGAUACCCUGGUAGUCCACGCAGUAAACGAUGAUUACUGGCUGUUUGCGAUACAAUGUAAGCGGCUGAGCGAAAGCGUUAAGUAAUCCACCUGGGGAGUACGUUCGCAAGAAUGAAACUCAAAUGAAUUGACGGGG